rnacentral:rRNA from 1 species
AGCAGCCGCGGUAAUUCCAGCUCCAAUAGCGUAUAUUAAAGUUGUUGCAGUUAAAAAGCUCGUAGUUGAAUUUCGGGAUCAGUACGCUGGUCGUGCCUUUGGUAUGUACUGGUGUCACUGAUUCCUCCCUUCUGAAGAACCGUUAUGCCAUUUAUUUGGUGUGGCGGGAAAUCAGGACUGUUACUUUGAAAAAAUUAGAGUGUUUAAAGCAGGCUCGCGCUUGAAUACAUUAGCAUGGAAUAAUGAAAUAGGACGUUUGAUCUUAUUUUGUUGGUUUCUAGGAUCGACGUAAUGAUUAAUAGGGAUAGUUGGGGGCAUUAGUAUUCAAUUGUCAGAGGUGAAAUUCUUGGAUUUAUUGAAGACUAACUACUGCGAAAGCAUUUGCCAAGGAUGUUUUCAUUAAUCAAGAACGAAAGUUAGGGGAUCGAAGACGAUCAGAUACCGUCGUAGUCUUAACCAUAAACUAUGCCGACUAGGGAUCGGAUGAUGUAAUUUUUAAUGA